rnacentral:rRNA from 1 species
AGUGAACGCUGGCGGUAGGCCUAACACAUGCAAGUCGAACGGCAGCACAGUAAGAGCUUGCUCUUACGGGUGGCGAGUGGCGGACGGGUGAGGAAUACAUCGGAAUCUACUUUUUCGUGGGGGAUAACGUAGGGAAACUUACGCUAAUACCGCAUACGACCUACGGGUGAAAGCAGGGGAUCUUCGGACCUUGCGCGGUUGAAUGAGCCGAUGUCGGAUUAGCUAGUUGGCGGGGUAAAGGCCCACCAAGGCGACGAUCCGUAGCUGGUCUGGGAGGAUGGUCAGCCACACUGGAACUGAGACACGGUCCAGACUCCUACGGGAGGCAGCAGUGGGGAAUAUUGGACAAUAGGCGGAAGCCUGAUACAGCCAUACCGCGUGGGUGAAGAAGGCCUUCGGGUUGUAAAGCCCUUUUGUUGGGAAAGAAAAGCAGCAGGUUAAUACCCCGCUGUUCUGACGGUACCCAAAGAAUAAGCACCGGCUAACUUCGUG